rnacentral:rRNA from 1 species
UACAGAGGUCUCAAGCGUUGUUCGGAUUUAUUGGGCGUAAAGGGCGCGUAUGCGGCCACCGCAAGUCGACUGUGAAAUCUCCGGGCUUAACUCGGAAAGGUCAGCCGAUACUGCGGGGCUAGAGUGCAGAAGGGGCAACUGGAAUUCUCGGUGUAUCGGUGAAAUGCGUAGAGAUCAGGAAGAACAUCGGUGGCGAAGGCGCUCUGCUGGACCAUAACUGACACUCAGGGACGAAAGCUAGGGGAGCGAAUGGG